UAUAAUUUGUUACCUAUAAAAAUAAUAUUACCUUUUUCAUUAAGAGAAAAUUAAUAUAUUAUUUUAUUUAUUUAUUUAUUUAAUAAAUUUAAUUAAAAAUAUAAAAUAAUUAAAUCUCGAAUUUAGUAUCUCAGAUACCAAUUAUCAAGCAUAUUAUCACCUGGGAGUAAUAGAUAAUAUUAAUUUAUAUUUGAGUAAACUUCAAAUACUUCCUUUGACACUUUCUCACUUUAGUAUCUUAUGCUUUAAAGUACAUCGAGUUAGUUCUUGUGGUUUCGCACUUUCUCACUUUUGUACCCUGUGGUUUAAAGUGUAUAAGUUAGUACUCUAUAGUUUCAUUUUUCUCUUUUUAUUAUUCAUUUUACUAAUUUUUUUUAUUAAAUCAGUAACAAAGUUAAAAUUAAAAGGAACUAAAGUAAAUAUUCGAUAAACCUAGGUAUGGUAUCUGAAGUUUUUUAUAUAUAAUUUAACAAAAUAUUAACGGAAAAAAAAAAUCAGUUACAAAGUUAAAACUAAAGGGUACUAAAGUAAAAUUCGAUAAAUCUAGAUAAGAUAUCUGAAGUUUUUUAAAUAUAAUUUAACGAAAUAUUAACAAAGGAGCCGACGAAAAGAAAAAAAUAGAACCACAAGUACUAAAUUGAUAUAUUUUAAAUCAUAAGGUAUUAAAAUUAAAAAGUGCGAAAUUAUUGGGUACUAAAUUGAUACGUUUUAAACUAUAAAAUACUAAAGUAAAAAAAUAUAAAACCAGAUGCAUAGUAUUUAAAGUUUUUUUUAUAUUAUAAUAAUA
rnacentral:lncRNA from 1 species